GUAAGUCGUCAAAUGUGAAAGUGAUUUUGCCUUGAAACACACCAGUAGUGAUAAAGGCUGUCAUCAGUCGGUGAUCCUUUGUUCCUGGGUUCCUGGCCUGUUCUCUUUGUAUCUGUAUGUGGUGGGGGUGCCUGUUGGUAUUUGACUGGUGGGAAGAUGCUUUUGGGCUGUGGUGUUGGAAAGACUCUUGAGAGUUCCUUGGACUGCAAGGAGAUCCAACCAGUCCAUCCUGAAGGAAAUCAACCCUGAAUAAUCAUUGGAAGGACUGAUGCUGAAGCUGAAGCUCCAAUACUUUGACCACCUGUUAUACAGAAGCAACUCAUUGGAAAAGACUCUGAUGCUGGGAAAGAUUGAGGGCAGGAGGAGAAGGGGACGACAGAGGAUGAGAUGGUUGGAUGGCAUCAAUUACUCAAUGGACAUGAGUUUAAGCAAACUCUGGGAAAUGGUGAAGGACAGGGAAGCCUGGUAUGCUGCAGUCCAUAGCGUUGCGAAGAGUCGGACACAACUGAGAGACUGAACAACAACAAGGCAGAUGGUCAGUUUUCUAUUGUGUGAAUUUCAACUCAACUGGAAAAACUGAUGGGGAUGCUAAGCAGUAUAAUACAUCCCAGAGUGGCAACUGCAGCCUCGGAGUCCAGAGUGUGAGAGCCUCCCUUUGUCUGUGAUGCGUUUGGGCUUGUGCGUCUGCGACGUUCCUGAGUCCCUUAAAAGGCAACACCAUGACCAUGGUUUUCUCAGGGCAGAGUUCUUUAAGCUUAAAACUCAACAUUCAGAAAACUAAGAUCAUAGCAUCCGGUCCCAUCAUUUCAUGGCAAAUAGAUGGGGUAACGAUGGAAACAGUGACAAACUUUAUUUUUUGAGGCUCCAAAAUCACUGCAGAUGGUGACUGCAGCCAUUAAAUUAAAAGAUGCUCACUUCUUGGAAGAAAAGUUAUGACCAACCAAGACAGCAUAUUAAAAAGCAGAGACAUUACUUUACCAACAAAGGACCAUCUAGUCAAGGCUAUGGUUUUUCCAGUGGUCAUGUAUGGAUGUGAGAGUUGGACUGUGAAGAAGGCUGAGUGCUGAAGAAUUGAUGCUUUUGAGCUGCGG
ensembl:lncRNA